rnacentral:lncRNA from 1 species
CUGAGAAUUCGCCUCCCUUCCCAGGCUAUGAAAAGCCACUGGGCAGCGUGACCAUCCAGGAUUCUCUGGGAACCUUGAGACAGUGUUAUUUACCUAUCCUUCCCUCUCCAAGUUGCAGCUUUCCACACUCUUCUGCCUCCCCUGCACACACUUCCUUCUCUGCAUACACAAACACCAAUGUGGAGCUGUCCCUUCCUCUCUCCGGCUGUCCUUCCUCAUUGCUGACAUGGGCAGAGGCUGGGUGGUGCUCGGGAAUAAAAGGGCUUCUCCUUUGACCGGAUGAACCAGGUCAUGUGCAUGGCUGGUGCCCACCACCUUUCAAGAGCACCUGCUGACCUUACUCCGGAGUUGACCCACUGUGCAGCGAUCCCCAGUCCCCAUCUGGGGCAGAGGUAACAGUGAGGUCCUGUCAGAAGCAAAAGCAAGCUUGCUAAGGACCAAAA